AUUGAACGCUGGCGGCAGGCCUAACACAUGCAAGUCGAGCGGCAGCGGGAAAGUAGCUUGCUACUUUUGCCGGCGAGCGGCGGACGGGUGAGUAAUGCCUGGGGAUCUGCCCAGUCGAGGGGGAUAACUACUGGAAACGGUAGCUAAUACCGCAUACGCCCUACGGGGGAAAGCAGGGGACCUUCGGGUCUUGCGAGAUUGGAUGAACCCAGGUGGGAUUCGCUAGUUGGUGAGGUAAUGGCUCACCAAGGCGACGAUCCCUAGCUGGUCUGAGAGGAUGAUCAGCCACACUGGAACUGAGACACGGUCCAGACUCCUACGGGAGGCAGCAGUGGGGAAUAUUGCACAAUGGGGGAAACCCUGAUGCAGCCAGGCCGCGUGUGUGAAGAAGGCCUUCGGGUUGUAAAGCACUUUCAGCGAGGAGGAAAGGUCAGUAGCUAAUAUCUGCUGGCUGUGACGUUACUCGCAGAAGAAGCACCGGCUAACUCCGUGCCAGCCGCCGCAGUAA
rnacentral:rRNA from 1 species